AGACGUUUUGAGUCCUGGCGUCAGGAUGAACGCUGGCGGCGUGCUAACACAUGCAAGUCGAGCGAAGCACUUCAUUAGAACUACUUCGGAGGGACGAGGAAGGUCGACGUGAAGCGGCGGACGGGUGAGUAACGCGUGGGCAACCUGCCUUACACAGGGGAUAACAGUUAGAAAUGACUGCUAAUACCGCAUAAGACCACAUUGCCGCAUGGCAGGGUGGUAAAAACUCCGGUGGUGUAAGAUGGGCCCGCGUCUGAUUAGGUAGUUGGCAGGGUAGAGGCCUACCAAGCCUACGAUCAGUAGCCGGCCUGAGAGGGUGGACGGCCACAUUGGGACUGAGACACGGCCCAAACUCCUACGGGAGGCAGCAGUGGGGAAUAUUGCACAAUGGGGGAAACCCUGAUGCAGCGACGCCGCGUGAGUGAGGACGUAUUUCGGUAUGUAAAGCUCCAUCAGCAGGGAAGAAAAUGACGGUACCUGACUAAGAAGCCCCGGCUAACUACGUG
rnacentral:rRNA from 1 species